rnacentral:tRNA from 2 species
GCGAAUAUAACUUAAAGGUAGAGUAUCAGAUUGUGGGUCUGAACGUUAUGGGUUCAAAUCCCAUUAUUCGCC